rnacentral:sRNA from 1 species
UUAAAGUUUCACACAAAUACAA